rnacentral:rRNA from 1 species
UACGAAGGGGGCUAGCGUUGCUCGGAAUCACUGGGCGUAAAGGGUGCGUAGGCGGGUCUUAAGUCAGGGGUGAAAUCCUGGAGCUCAACUCCAGAACUGCCUUUGAUACUGAAGAUCUUGAGUUCGGGAGAGGUGAGUGGAACUGCGAGUGUAGAGGUGAAAUUCGUAGAUAUUCGCAAGAACACCAGUGGCGAAGGCGGCUCACUGGCCCGGUACUGACGCUGAGGUGCGAAAGCGUGGGGAGCAAACAGG